GGGGAAUGUGUGGAAAGGAGUAAGAAAAGAUUUUUUGUAGAAGCUGGUCAAUGGCACAUCUGAGUAUGGAAUCUCUUGCACCAUGCACCAGAAUGACACAAAUGCAAGAACCUAUGGAAAGGGAGAAACACACUGUGGUGUCAUCACUCACCCUGUCGCAGCUCUUCACCCAUUCUGAAGACAUUUGCACCACUUCUUCAC